UUCCUAAAACAUAGUGAUAAUGCACCAGAUUCCAUAGAACUCUACAGUUAAGCAUGCUCAAGCUAGAGUAGUACUGGGAUGGGUGAUCGCUCGUGAAGUCCUAGUAUUUUACAUGC
rfam:Picea glauca, whole genome shotgun sequence.